UGCGUAGGCGGGCAGCUAAGUCAGUGGUGAAAGUCUGCAGCUCAACUGUAGAAUUGCCAUUGAUACUGGUUGUCUUGAAUUAUUAUGAAGUGGUUAGAAUAUGUAGUGUAGCGGUGAAAUGCAUAGAUAUUACAUAGAAUACCAAUUGCGAAGGCAGAUCACUAAUAAUAUAUUGACGCUGAUGGACGAAAGCGUGGGGAGCGAACAGGAUUAGAUACCCUGGUAGUCC
rnacentral:rRNA from 1 species